rnacentral:rRNA from 1 species
UACAGAGGGGGCAAGCGUUGUUCGGAAUUACUGGGCGUAAAGGGCGCGUAGGCGGCCUGCUAAGUCGAACGUGAAAUCCCCGAGCUCAACUCGGGAACUGCGUCCGAUACUGGCGGGCUUGAAUCCGGGAGAGGGAUGCGGAAUUCCAGGUGUAGCGGUGAAAUGCGUAGAUAUCUGGAGGAACACCGGUGGCGAAGGCGGCAUCCUGGACCGGCAUUGACGCUGAGGCGCGAAAGCGUGGGUAGCAAACAGG